UUCUGUUAUCUUUCUCGUACGCCUGCAAAUGAUAUAAAUGACUGCGUCCGCGAAUUUGAACACUGAGAGUCUUUGUGCGCAGCGGCUAUGGUGAAUGUUUGCAGAUUAAAUAUUUUGGUAGCGUUUAUGGCGAUUACUUUCAUUUUGCUUCCCAUGCAAGAAACAGGCCAGUGCUACGCUCUCCCGAGCCCACGCCACAAGGCAGUUCGUGGAGGAGCUUCCGGAAACCGAAAUAGGGGUGCUACUCGGCGCUCUACAACUACACGCAGGUUCAACGGCCAGUUUCCUAAGGGCUAACCAUGCUGGUGGUGCAUGUUACUGAAAGCAUUGAAGAGAGGCAACAGGUGAGAAAAAGCAAAUUCGACGAAACCAUAUCAAUCUACCGACGGAUCAUAGACCUCAAGUUCACAAAAGUUUUGAUCACAAUACGAGCCAUUAUCGUCAAUGGGAAAAAUAAUUUUUUUUGCAGUCAUCGAUCAUGUAGGCGUUUCGAACUAUUUGCUAUUCUCAAAAGUAAUCAGAUUUUUCGCCUUUCGGAGGGUCUUAAUUAUCAGUGAACAUUUUAUCUAUACUUAUUGUAUACCAAAUAUCCCAGUGACGGGAUUUCACAUGAAGAGAUGGCUAUUACCGCAGGGUUGAAUUUUCUAUAUUAGUUCGAUAGCCACAUCAAUUCGCUUUAGCUGGUGUAAUGCACAAGGUAAGGAAGAAGGUCUUCCUAAUCUUGCAAUGUCCCGACAUAAAAUGAAGAAAGCUGCAUCGGACAUGUAACUCACGAAAAUAAAUAAAGAGCCUACAGCACACUGAGAUGCUUUUUAAUAUAUAUGCUAGAGCUAGCAGUUAGGUUUCUUAAGAAUGCUAUGCAAAGGCAUGCAAUCAAACGCGAUAUAUGAGAAUGCAGAAACCUCAAUCAUGUUGAGUUCGUGGAGCUAUAUGGCGCCGAUAUGUGAUCGUUUCAAUGCUUAGGGUCGAACAUCCCCCCUCUCCCCCUCACCCCCCAGGAUGGGGGUAGCCCAAGUGCCAACGAUGAAGCUAGGAAAGAAGCGCGCUUCUCUUAGUUGUUGGCUCUUACGCUAGUUUCAAACAUGAAUCUUGGCAAAUUUUCCACACCCGCUUCUGUCCUAAAUGUUUUCUUGCAUUAAAAAAAAUUCUGGAGGUGAGCUUAACCCUUGACUUAGGUGUCCGGAAGCGGCACUCACACGUCGGCAUUCGUGCGCCUUCGGGUAUUUCUUGCGUUAACUUUGUGUUUCGCGCAAAGCCGAAAGACAUAUAAGAGUCCACGUAAAAAGAAGCCUGUGGUUGCGACCUUCUCCACCAGGUGCGCAAUGAUCGCACUUUACCGCGAUCUUUCAAUGAACUCAAUAAAAAAUUUUUGUUUAAUUGCUC